AGGAUUUCCUAACAGACGGACUGGCGCUUGCUCUGCUCCUCUGGCAUAAACAAGACAUGGACACUUCACAGCAGUGUAAGCCCUGAAGCAGUGUGUGCGUAUUGACAGCUAAUUUUUCCAAGGAAUGCCGGAUGGAUGUACAAAUCGUUUUGACCAGAUUUUGUCAGCAAGGAAUCAGAACUGCCUCUUAUUAAAUACCUGAGUGCUUACACCAUAGACCUACGUUGGGAGCCCAUAUGCAUCACUGCCUCCUGAAAUGAGACAGCUGUUUAACUGAACUGAGCUAUUGUCAAGACCAAGAGACUGGUUCGAUAAAAUGGAGCAAUCUACCAACUUAACUUCUGGACUGUGAAACUUUUGGGGGAAGUUUCAAAGGCAAGACUUGGGGAGCAGAAUAUGUGACUCCAAAAUGUGCCACUGUGGCAUCAUUUUGAGCUGGAUCAUUUUGAGCUGAAGACAAGACCCAGCAGUCUCAAGAUAACCUUUUCCCUCUCCCUUAACUACCUAAAAAAUUUAGAUAGGGGGCCUGGCCCAGAAAGAAAGCUAUUACCAGCGAUAACUUUUUAUCUGAAAGACUGAUCUGUAUGGCAAGACAAACAUCUAAUUACAAAACAUCUGCUCUUCUUGUUGUCCUGUGAAUUACUCUCCUUCUCUUUGUAACCCCAGGCCCCUAUCCCAUUCCUUAGCUUAGGAGGGCAUAUCAGGCUCAACUGCUUGACUUGAACUUGAGUCCCAUAUCUUUGGGGCUCCUAAACAUACAAAAUUAAAUUUGUUUUUUCUCCUGUUAAUCUAUCUUAUGUCAAUUUGAUUAUUAGACCAGCCAAAGAAUCUAAAAGGGAAGAAGGGAAAAUUUUUAUGCCCUGACACUAUGAACAAAUUAUUGGACAUUUUUAUGCCCCAAAUUUAAACACUUAGGUAAAAAAAUAAUUUCUUUUAAAAAAUAAAAA
rnacentral:lncRNA from 1 species